CCUACGGGAGGCAGCAGUGAGGAAUAUUGGUCAAUGGACGAGAGUCUGAACCAGCCAAGUAGCGUGAAGGAUGACUGCCCUAUGGGUUGUAAACUUCUUUUAUAUGGGAAUAAAACGUUCCACGUGUGGGAUUUUGUAUGUACCAUAUGAAUAAGGAUCGGCUAACUCCGUGCCAGCAGCCGCGGUAAUACGGAGGAUCCGAGCGUUAUCCGGAUUUAUUGGGUUUAAAGGGAGCGUAGGUGGAUUGUUAAGUCAGUUGUGAAAGUUUGCGGCUCAACCGUAAAAUUGCAGUCGAAACUGGCAGUCUUGAGUACAGUAGAGGUGGGCGGAAUUCGUGGUGUAGCGGUGAAAUGCUUAGAUAUCACGAAGAACUCCGAUUGCGAAGGCAGUUCACUGGACUGCAACUGACACUGAGGCUCGAAAGUGUGGGUAUCAAACAGGAUUAGAUACCCCAGUAGUC
rnacentral:rRNA from 1 species